rnacentral:rRNA from 1 species
GAUGAACGCUGGCGGCGUGCCUAAUACAUGCAAGUCGAGCGAACAGACGAGGAGCUUUCUCCGCUGACGUUAGCGGCGGACGGGUGAGUAACACGUUGAUCACCUACCUAUAAGACUGGGAUAACUUCGGGAAACCGGAGCUAAUACCGGACAAUAUAUUGAACGGCAUGGUUCAAUAGUUAAAGACGGUUUUGCUGUCACUUAUAGAUGGAUCCGCGCCGCGUUAGCUAGUUGGUAAGGUAACGGCUUACCAAGGCAGCGAUGCGUGUCCGACCUGAGAGGGUGGUCGGCCACACUGGAACGGAGACACGGUCCAGACGCCUAAGGGAGGCAGCAGUAGGGAAUCUGCCGCAAUGGGCGAAAGCAUGACGGAGCAACGGCGCGUGAGUGAUGAAGGUCUUCGGAUCGUAAAACUCUGUUAUUAGGGAAGAACAAAUGUGUAAGGAACUAUGCACGUAUUGACGGUACCUAAUGAGAAAGCCACGGCUAACUACGUG